AUGCGGGCGAGCGGCGCGACGGCGUCGUGGGUGGUGGGGCAGAUGGGCACGGACGCGCACCUGUACGACGACCCGGAGGACGCCGCCAUCCCGGCGCUGCUCGACUCCCGCUUCGACGCCAACAAGGUCGACGUCGCCGACCUCUUCCCCCAGGUCCACGGCGAGGCUCCGAGGAGGUUCUGGAUCGAGGACGACGCCUUCUGGAAGGAUGGGGUGCCGUUCUAG
rnacentral:rRNA from 1 species